rnacentral:rRNA from 1 species
GAAGGGGGCUAGCGUUGUUCGGAAUUACUGGGCGUAAAGGGCGCGUAGGCUGUGCUGUAAGUCAGGCGUGAAAGCCCCGGGCUCAACCUGGGAAUUGCGCUUGAUACUGCGGCGCUGGAAGGUGGGAGAGGAUGGCGGAAUUCCCAGUGUAGAGGUGAAAUUCGUAGAUAUUGGGAAGAACACCGGUGGCGAAGGCGCCCAUCUGGCCCACAAUUGACGUUGAGGCGCGAAAGCGUGGGGAGCAAACAGGAUUAGAUACCCUGGUAGUCCACCCUGUAAACGAUGAGUGCUAGAGUCGGGGCGCUUGCUCUUCGGUGUCGCCGCUAACGCAUUAAGCACUCCGCCUGGGGAGUACGGUCGCAAGAUUA